AAAACACAAACGAACGCUGGCGGCGUGCCUAACACAUGCAAGUCGAACGUGAUCCGCCCUUCGGGGUGGUGAAAGUGGCGCACGGGUGAGUAACGCGUGGAUAAUCUGCCCGAGGAUUUGGGAUAACAUCUCGAAAGGGGUGCUAAUACCGAAUAAGCCCACGGGGUCUACGGAUCUUGCGGGAAAAGGGGGGGACCUUCGGGCCUCCUGUCCUUGGAUGAGUCUGCGUACCAUUAGCUAGUUGGUGGGGUAAUGGCCUACCAAGGCGACGAUGGUUAGCUGGUCUGAGAGGAUGAUCAGCCACACUGGAACUGAGACACGGUCCAG
rnacentral:rRNA from 1 species